rnacentral:tRNA from 1 species
GGAGGAGUGGCUCGAGUGGCUUAUGGCGACGGUCUUGAAAACCGUUAGGGCCGCAAGGCCCUCGCAGGUUCGAAUCCUGCCUCCUCCG